rnacentral:rRNA from 1 species
AUUGAACGCUGGCGGCAGGCCUAACACAUGCAAGUCGAACGGUAACAGGGAUCAGCUUGCUGAUUCGCUGACGAGUGGCGGGCGGGUGAGUAAUGUCUGGGAAACUUCCUGAUGGAGGGGGAUAACUACUGGAAACGGUAGCUAAUACCGCAUAACGUCGCCAGACCAAAGAGGGGGACCUUCGGGGCUCUUGCCAUCGGAUGUGCCCAGAUGGGAUUAGCUAGUAGGUGGGGUAACGGCUCACCUAGGCGACGAUCCCUAGCUGGUCUGAGAGGAUGACCAGCCACACUGGAACUGAGACACGGUCCAGACUCCUACGGGAGGCAGCAGUGGGGAAUAUUGCACAAUGGGCGCAAGCCUGAUGCAGCCAUGCCGCGUGUAUGAAGAAGGCCUUCGGGUUGUAAAGUACUUUCAGCGGGGAGGAAGGGAGUAAAGUUAAUACCUUUGCUCAUUGACGUUACCCGCAGAAGAAGCACCGGCUAACUCCGUG